GUCAGUCAGACUGAAUGUUGAACAUCAGCUGCUUUCUCCUGCUGGUUUAAACCUUGUUGGACAGAUGGAACAUUGGCUGUGGAUUAUUCUGGCUGCUCUUUUCUCUGAGUGUAAAGGAGACUCAGUGACGCAGACAGAAAGAGAAGUUGUUGCUGCUGCAGGAAGCUCAGUGACUCUGGGAUGUACUUACGAGAGCAGUGUGAGUGUCACAUUGUUCUGGUAUAAACAAGAAGAAAACAGUUUCCCAAAGUACAUGCUGAAGCAGCUGUCAUCAUCAAAAUAUAAAGCUCCAGAUUUUGACAAUGAUAGAUUUGAUGCUGACCUCAAUAAAGACGACAAAUCCUUCAGCCUGAAGAUCCAGGAUCUCCGUCCGUCAGACUCUGCUGUGUACUACUGCGCUCUGCAGCCCACAGUGACAGGAAACACCAGAACCCUGUGCAAAAACCUGCAGUACUCCACAGCGGCCACUAGAGGGCCUCAUAGAUCAGGUUACAUUAAUCAAAUUUUAUUUGUAUAGCGCAUGUCAGCAGUGAGGCAUUGCAAAGAGCUUUACAUCAUUAAAGACACAAAAACGGUCAUGCAACAUUGAAUCAUCAAAAACAUUAAAUUAAGUCAAUUGCCGUCAUCAAAUUCAUAAUUGAUUACAUUUCAAAUACAACUGAAAACAGGUGGGGUUUUAGUCGAGAUUUAAAGGAAGUCAGUGUU